rnacentral:misc_RNA from 1 species
AACGGUCUAUACCUGCGGUACCUGCGGAAGGAUCAUUACUGAGGAGGGUCCAUGGCCCGAUCUCCAACCCUUUGAUAAAAACACCAUGUUGCUUUGGCAGGCCCGCCCGUUGGGGCCGCGGGGGAUCGCCGGUCCCUAGCCCGUGCCUGCCGGUAGCCUUCACAAAACUCUCAAAAUGUUGUCGUCUGAGAUGAUUAGAAUAAUAAAACUUUCAACAAUGGAUCUCUAGAUCGGAAGAGC